CGACGCCCAGCGCCCCGUCCAGGAGAUCUAGCGAAGUGAAUCUAUGGAUUUAGAAGCUAUUAAGAGGCUGCUGCGAUCACCUAGACCAAGUGAUGAAUACUUGGCUGGGGUAAAAGGUUUUCUUGAUUUUGCAUACAUGGGAAAAAAGGCAGAUACCAAGAUUCAUUGCCCAUGUGUUAAAUGUGUCAAUAGAUUUUUACUGAAACGGGAUGAUGUAUAUGGUCAUUUGGUAUGUGAUGGAAUGCUACUUGGAUAUACUGUCUGGGGUUGUCAUGGUGAAACUGCAGCAUACAUCAGCGCCAACAAGCGGAAACGGUCAAAAGGAGAAAGAAAAAACUUAAACUCUAAUAUGCACCAGCUAGUUCAUGAUGCAUUCGGGAAUGUAGAUAAUGAACCUCCAGUAAAUGACCGCGAUGGUCCAAAUCGUCUAGAACCUGGACCAGAUUCUGAAACCCAAGCUUUCUUUGACUUGUUGGGAGGUGAAGAUGUACCUUUGUGGAAAGGGUGUGAACUAUCAAAACUUUCUUUCCUUGUACUUCUGUUCAACAUAAAAUCGACUAACAAGUGGAGUAAUAAAUCUUUAAAUGACUUGCUAGCAGUUCUGCAACAAGCAAUUCCCAAUGGUAAGAAGUUACCUAGAACUUUUGCGGAGGCUAAGAAGAUCAUCGGGAAGCUUGGGCUUAGUUACGAGAGAAUUCAUGUUUGUGAACAAGAUUGUCAGCUUUUUUGGAAAGAGAAGGAAAGUGAUGACUUCUGCUCUAUAUGUGGAAAAUCAAGGUGGAAGAACACACCAGAUAAGACCACACUAACAAAGAAAGAAAGAAGAAAGGCAAGCCCUAAGAAGGUGUUACGGUACUUUCCAAUUAAGCCGCGGCUUAAGAGACUUUUUAUGCACAAAGAAACCGCUGCAGCAUUACGGUGGCAUGAUGAGGAACGCACAAAGGAUGGUGCAUUGCGACAUCCAGCUGAUUCAGAGGCAUGGAAACACAUUGACUCUAAGCAUCCACACAUUGCAGCAGAUCCUCGAAACAUUAGAUUUGCAAUGGCGACUGAUGGGUUCAAUCCGUUUGGGAUGAUGAGUUCGAAACAUAGUUGUUGGCCUGUUGUCCUUAUACCAUAUAACCUUCCACCUUGGUUAUGUAUGAAGGCAUCUUCAAUUAUGCUUACCCUGCUUAUUCCUGGCCCAUCUUACCCUGGAAAGAACUUUCAUGUAUUUAUGAAGCCAGUUUAUGAGGAACUAGCUGAGCUCUUUCUAGUAGGAACACGGACAUAUGAUGCAUCUCGAGAUGAGAUGUUUGAUCUUUAUGCUGUUUUAUUGUAUACUGUGAGCGACUACCCCGGGCUAGCGAUUGUUGCAGGAUAUAGUAUCAGUAGUGACUUUGGUUGUUUUCCAUGUCGCGAUGAAACAUGGUCUAAACGCCUCCAACAUGGGCAGAAGUACUGUUACAUGGGGCAUCGCCGGUUUCUACCUCCAGAUCAUGAGUUCCGUUUUGAUGCCAAUUCAUUUGAUGGGUCUGAAGAACAUAGAGCAGCACCCAUUGCUUAUGCUCAGACUGCAAUUCUUGACAAGAUAAAAUCAGUUAAGGACUUUGAGAAAUCCAAAACCUGGAAGUGUGAAAGCGGCUUGUUCUCUUUGCCCUAUUGGGACACCAAUUUACUCCGUCACAAUCUAGAUAUCAUGCAUAUUGAGAAGAACGUAUGUGAGAAUAUAUAUGGGACACUUCUAGGCAUAGAUGGCAAGUCUAAGGAUAAUUUGAAAGCACGUCUGGACCUAGAACAAAUGAACAUUAGGAAAGAGCUGCAUCCACAAAAAAAACCUAAUAAUAAAUAUUAUUUGCCUGCUGCUUCUUAUAACAUGUCUAAAAAAGGGAAGCAACAAUGUUGCAAAGUUCUGCAUGAUAUAAGAGUUUCAGAUGGGUUCUCGGGAAACAUAUCAAGAUGUGUAAACGUUCCUCAAGGGAAAAUUUCGGGUCUUAAAAGUCAUGACUGUCAUAUUCUAAUCCAACAACUUCUGCCACUUGCUCUACGAUAUCUACUCCCAGAUAAUGUUACUUCUGUGUUGUUUGAUCUAUUCGGAUAUUUUAGAGAAGUGAGUGCAAAAGUUCUUUACAUUGAAGAUCUCGAGAAAUUGGAGGAGAGAAUCGUAAUGACGUUAUGUCGUAUGGAAAUGAUAUUCCCGCCAGGAUUUUUUACUGUUAUGGUGCAUUUGGUUAUUCAUCUAGCAACUGAGGCAAAAAUAGGUGGUCCAGUUUGCUACCGUUCGAUGUGGUUUACGGAAAGGUACCUAGGUAAGCUGAAAUCAAAUGUUCGCAAUAAAGCUCAUCCCGAAGGAUCUAUAGCUGAAGCAUAUUUGGCAGAUGAGUGCAUGACAUUCUGUUCAAGAUAUAUUGUUGGUUUUGAAACCAAACAUAACUUGACUUCACGGAACGAAGAUAGUGAGGAGUUGGUUGGGCAUUGUGACGUUACACGAAGAUCAACUUUAUUUCCUCAUGCUGGCAACCCACUUGGAAAGCCUGGGAAUUUUGUUUUAAGGGGUCUAGAUAAAGUACAAGCUCACAGAUAUGUAUUGUUCAAUUGUUCUGAUGUGAACUCAUACCUUAGAGCUCAUGCUGAUGAGAUCACGCACAGACGCAAUGUAAACCUAGAUACUAUCGAGAGGACCCAGAACGAGAAGUUCCACGAAUGGUUCCGAGCUCAUAUCAAGAAAUUGGAGGAGGAAAAUGGCAUCAAUAGUAUUAAAAAUGAUAUUAGAUGGCUGGCUCGGGGCCCAGUUCAUGCAGCAAGAAGAUAUCGUGCUUUCAACUCCCGAGGCUUUCGUUUUAGGCCUAAACGCUUGGAUAAAAAAACACAGAAUAGUGGAGUCAUGGUAACUGCAAAAACAUCUCGAUAUUCUACAACAGGGAAUGCAAAUCCAGUUUUACGUGAUGUGACGUACUAUGGGAGGAUAAUUGAUAUUAUCGAGAUGAACUAUUCUGGGCAAUUUUCAGUGGUGUUGUUUAAAUGUGAAUGGGUUGAUGUAUUUUCUGAAGAAGGAAUACAGAAAGACAAGUACGGUUACACACUUGUCAACUUCUCACGUCUGAUACACAAAGGAGAUAAAAUUGAGCACGAGCCUUUUAUUUUCCCUAACCAGGCAGAUCAAGUGUUCUAUGUGGAAGAUGAACAUAACCCAGGUUGGUCCGUCGUAAUGAAGCAGCCAAAGCCUAGAGAUGUGUAUGACAUUUCCAUUGAAAGGGCCGCUGACACAGAAAUGGAGCCAUUCCAUGUUUCACACCUUGGGGAGAUGUUUAAAAGAAAAAACAAUGACAAACAUUGGGUUAGAACAGACGUCGAGGGGACAUUAGUGGAUGCUAAUAUUGCUUCAAGCAAGGAAGAAGGUCAUAACCAUGAAGGUUGUGAUGAAGAAGCAGAAACCUAAUUCUAAGAAGAGGAAGCAAAAGAUUUAGGAACAUAUUUAUUUCAAAAAUAUUACAAGAUUUGCAUAGAUGCACUUACCAGAUAUAUUUGAUGUAUUUGCAAGUAGCAACAGCUUAUUCUCAUUCAAGGUGAAGAAGCAACCUCCAUGUUAAGAAACAAGGAUGUCAAGCUGACGUUGAUCUUGAAGAAAUAAGUAAAGUUGAAGCAGUCAUCAAAGCUCGUCAUUACAAUCUUGCCAAAUUUUCACCCGAAGUUUGAUGUGUUGUUGUCUGUACUGAAUUGUUCAUACAGACACUAGAAUCACGUAUAGGUCACAUGUUGACUAAGUACAUUUAUACCCUUUUAUUUCGUCUGAUUUUUUGUUCUGCCAAUACUUCUUAGUCCAUGUACCAUUUUGUUCAAUUGCACUGAACCGGUUGAGCCAUACAAUUAAACCUGAGAUUGGUUUAGGU